AUACAGCGAAACUGCGAAUGGCUCAUUAAAUCAGUUAUCGUUUAUUUGAUAGUACCUUACUACUUGGAUAACCGUGGUAAUUCUAGAGCUAAUACAUGCUAAAAAUCCCGACUUACGAAGGGAUGUAUUUAUUAGAUUAAAAACCAAUGCCCUUCGGGGCUCUUUGGUGAUUCAUAAUAACUUUUCGAAUCGCAUGGCCUUGCGCCGGCGAUGGUUCAUUCAAAUUUCUGCCCUAUCAACUUUCGAUGGCAGGGUCUUGGCCUGCCAUGGUUACAACGGGUAACGGAGGGUUAGGGCUCGACCCCGGAGAAGGAGCCUGAGAAACGGCUACUACAUCCAAGGAAGGCAGCAGGCGCGCAAAUUACCCAAUCCCGAUUCGGGGAGGUAGUGACAAUAAAUACUGAUACAGGGCUCUUUUGGGUCUUGUAAUUGGAAUGAGUACAAUUUAAAUCCCUUAACGAGGAACAAUUGGAGGGCAAGUCUGGUGCCAGCAGCCGCGGUAAUUCCAGCUCCAAUAGCGUAUAUUAAAGUUGUUGCAGUUAAAAAGCUCGUAGUUGAACCUUGGGCCUGGCUGGCCGGUCCGCCUCACCGCGUGCACUGGUUCGGCCGGGCCUUUCCCUCUGGGGAACCCUAUGGUCUUCACUGAUCGUAGCGGGGAACCAGGACUUUUACUGUGAAAAAAUUAGAGUGUUCAAAGCAGGCCUAUGCUCGAAUACAUUAGCAUGGAAUAAUAAAAUAGGACGUGUGGUUCUAUUUUGUUGGUUUCUAGGACCGCCGUAAUGAUUAAUAGGGACAGUCGGGGGCAUCAGUAUUCAAUUGUCAGAGGUGAAAUUCUUGGAUUUAUUGAAGACUAACUACUGCGAAAGCAUUUGCCAAGGAUGUUUUCAUUAAUCAGGAACGAAAGUUAGGGGAUCGAAGACGAUCAGAUACCGUCGUAGUCUUAACCAUAAACUAUGCCGACUAGGGAUCGGACGGUGUUAUUUUUUGACCCGUUCGGCACCUUA
rnacentral:rRNA from 2 species